rnacentral:rRNA from 1 species
UUUGGCAUGGGCGAAAGCCUGAUCAGCAAUGCCGCGUGUGUGAAGAAGGCCUUCGGGUUGUAAAGCACUUUUGUCCGGAAAGAAAUGGCUCUGGUUAAUACCUGGGGUCGAUGACGGUACCGGAAGAAUAAGGACCGGCUAACUACGUGCCAGCAGCCGCGGUAAUACGUAGGGUCCAAGCGUUAAUCGGAAUUACUGGGCGUAAAGCGUGCGCAGGCGGUUGUGCAAGACCGAUGUGAAAUCCCCGAGCUUAACUUGGGAAUUGCAUUGGUGACUGCACGGCUAGAGUGUGUCAGAGGGGGGUAGAAUUCCACGUGUAGCAGUGAAAUGCGUAGAGAUGUGGAGGAAUACCGAUGGCGAAGGCAGCCCCCUGGGAUAACACUGACGCUCAUGCACGAAAGCGUGGGGAG